UUUGUCUCUUGCUGUGGACGGGAUUCUCGAGCUCUACACUGUGAAGGUUCCUGACUCCAGCUUGUGUUCCCACGGUCAACAUGUUCGCUGCCACCUGGACGCUGCAGGUAAGAUUAGGAACCUCUUUCCAACCAGCCUUGGUGGGGCGAGAAAGCCUUUUAUGAGGAAGCACACAAGAGGGUAUUGCAGCAGAAAGUCGACAGAAAUGACAUACAUCUUUUGCUUACUUCAAACAGCUGCGCUCUCGAACAUUUACC